UACGUAGGGUGCAAGCGUUGUCCGGAUUUAUUGGGCGUAAAGAGCUCGUAGGCGGUCCGUCACGUCGGCUGUGCAAACCCGGGGCUCAACCCCGGGCCUGCAGUCGAUACGGGCGGACUAGAGUUCGGUAGGGGAGGACUGGAAUUCCUGGUGUAGCGGUGGAAUGCGCAGAUAUCAGGAGGAACACCGAUGGCGAAGGCAGGUCUCUGGGCCACUACUGACGCUGAGAAGCGAAAGCAUGGGGAGCGAACAGG
rnacentral:rRNA from 1 species